rnacentral:rRNA from 1 species
AAACGACUCUCGGCAACGGAUAUCUCGGCUCUCGCAUCGAUGAAGAACGUAGCGAAAUGCGAUACUUGGUGUGAAUUGCAGAAUCCCGUGAACCAUCGAGUCUUUGAACGCAAGUUGCCCCCCAAGCCAUUAGGCCGAGGGCACGUUUGCCUGGGUGUCACGC